CUUGAGACUAGGAGGGCUGCAGUGUACUAUACCAAUCACUUGUCUGCACUAAGUUCAGAAUCAACAUGGUGACUUCCUGAGGGCAGGGGACAACCAGGUUACCUUGGUAGGGGUGAACAGGCCCAGGUUAGAAAGAAAGUAGGUCAAAACUUUCGUGCUGAUGAGUAGUGCAAUUGUGCCUGUGAAUAGCCAUUGCACUCAGCUUGGGCAACAUAG
ensembl:misc_RNA Metazoa_SRP Metazoan signal recognition particle RNA